rnacentral:lncRNA from 1 species
AAAAUAAAUGGCAAGUUUUAUUAUGCACAUUUUACAGAUGGGAAAACUGAGUCUUGCAGAGGUUAAAAAACUUGCUAAGGUCACACAGUGAGUAAUUAGAGGAUUGGGGAUUAAAACUGAAGCCAUUAUUCUUCCCACUUCUCCAUGGACACAAUUAACUGUGAUAAACUGAUCUGAGGAUUCUGGGAGCCAUGUGACCUAAGAUGAAAUCCACAUUCUGCAGAAUUGAGAGUGUCAUAAGAAGGUUGUAGGUUCUUCCAGGUCUGGGAUAGAUGGAGGAGGCUCAGAAUGGAAAUUAAGGAGGUGAUGGCCUCUCACUGAUCAGAAAAUUGAGACUCAGAUGGGACUUGGGAUUACCUGAAGCAAGGCCAUCCACCUCCUGAGGCCAGCUCUGCCAAAUUCAUCCCCCACUUCCCCCAGGGGUGAGGGCAGCCUGAGAGACCUGAGAAGGAAGGAGAGAUCAUAUUAAAUCCAGAAUAUCUAUUUGGUAGAGUGGAAAUGCCCUGAUGUUUGAUCCCAUUUACUUGAGUAAGACUUUAUAUCCAGGCAUCUCAGGUUUUAAAUUACAUGUCAGAGACAAUUUUGCUCUCUGGAUGUGACAUGCAGGGUUGUCCUUCAGGCAAGCCAAUAUGAGCUUAGUGCUCAGCCUCUCCCUGUCUCCAGGAAGGGAGGCUUCUUGGUUUCAUUCAUUCAGUAAACCUUUGCUGAGCAUCUCAGCAGGGCCAGGCCCUAUAGUAAGGGUUGGGCAUAUAGACAGGAAUAAGACAUGAUUCUUGGUCUUAAGAGGCUCUUAACAUGAUCAUACUAAUGGCUACUAUUAAUCUGUUGAUUCCUUCAACAUAUAUUUGUGGUGUGCUUACUCUGUGCAAGGCACUGGAUCAGGCACUUGGGAUCCAUCAGGGAACAGGAUAGACAAAAAGCCCUGCCCUGUAGCAGCUUAUAUCCUAACGGAGAGAGAGACAAUAAAUAAUAAACAUGAUAAAUAAGUUAGAUUAGAUUAAGUUAGAUAAUAUGCUUGAAUGUGAUAAAUGCUAAUGAAAAUGGGAAAUCAAUAAAAGGACAGGGUUGUAGAAAUUGGAGUGCUGAGAGUGAGAGAGGGUUGCAGUUGUGAAUAGGGUGGUAGGACGACACCUUGCAGCUGAUGGCAUAAGAUGAAAAAUGUGAAGGGGGCAGAAUGAACCACAGUGAUAUCUGGGGAAAUUGAAGCAGAGGGAAAGCUCUCACAAAGGAGCUUGGAUGGAGUGUGCCUGGUGUGUUUUGAGACGCAGCAAGGAGCUCCCUGUGGCUAGAGUAGAGUGAGUGAAGGAGAGAGUAAGAGAGGAGAUUAAGAGGAAAUGGGGGUGGGCACAGCCUGUGAGGCUCUCUGCACCACUUCCAGGCUGUGGCUUUGAUUCUGGGUGAAAUGGGGAACUGUAUAGAGACAUAGACAUGCUCUUCCUUACAAGGGGAGAGCUUCACUCUCAAAUUCCUCCACAGGUUGGGGCAGAGAGACCAGGGAAGAGGCUGUUAUAUUAUAUACUCCAGGUAAGAUGACAGUGACUAGGUUAGCUUGGAGCUGUGGAGGUGGUGAGAGGUGGUCAGACUGGGGACUGCAGUCAUCAUGCUGUGCAAUUGAUCUCAAAAAUGCAUUUCUUCUGUCUAACUGAAAUUCUGUAGUCUUUGAUGUUGGUCAUUGAAUUCUUAAUAUAACCCCAGGAGAUAAUAUUUUUCUUUGUUACUGAUGAGGAAACUGAGGCUUAGUUUCAGGCCACUUGCCCAAGGUCAUGCUACUAAUCGAUCAAUUGUAGAGCUGGGUCUCAAACUCAGUGUCCUUCUGGGAUGAACAGUACCAUUGGUGCCAUUGGUUGACCAGCCUGCGUUGUACCGCAUCAACUGCUAAGUUGUGUUGGGACAGAAUUUUGGGGGCAGAGGCAGGAUUUUUCUGGUAGUGACAGUGCCUUUGAAAUCUGGAGGGUUAAAGAAGCACAUCCCAUUAGUGUGGGUGGGUGAGCAUGAGUACUCGAUUCCAAAGGAAUCCCAGGCUCUACAUCAGAGUUAAGGAGAGUUGGAAUCAGAACCAGAGAGUGAUAGAGGCAGGAAAGGAAACCAGGGUGUGUCGAUGCCUCCAGAAUAUUCUGGUCUUUGUAGCCCAGCCUCUUUCCCCUCUGUCCUCAUAAACCUUCCAGGGCUACACUGGUGAGUCUGACACACAGAGUUAGACAUUUUAUUUUAAAUUAUCUUCUAUAUAAUUCCAUUGGGAGGUCAGCAAAAUAGUUUUUGCAGGUUUGGGAAGAUUUCCCAGAAGGAAGGGUGUUUUCCAAAGCCCAUUGUACGCAACAGGCAGUUAAUAGGAACCCAGUGAGACUCUGAGGGCCCCUGAAUGCCCUAGCCCAGAGCAGGUAAGUAAUAAAAGGUAAAGCAAAUGUCCUGUCUACAUCUCCGUGCCUUUCUCAGCUUUGGAUAUUUGUUUCCAUGGAAGGGAACUUCUUGUCUUGAUCUUACUUCUGAACAUGAGGAAUCAAGCGGAGCAAGGAUGGAGCAACCCAGAAAGCUUUCGUGGCCAGUCCUAUUUAUAGAAUUUUCAAGGCCAGACCUGUACCGGAAGAGCAUAUGGGCACAGAAGAAGUCAGAAGUAAAGCAACAGAGGUUAGCUUCACUUUACCAGCGGAGCUCAGGGUUCAGCAGGUAGAAGAAAAGGAAGAAUUCUCAAGCCAUCUUAUCAAGACUUCCACCUGGGACCACCCAUCAUUCUGCCCUUUCGAAUUCUGAGCUGACAUCACCUCUGGGUAUAUCAAUGAACCACACAGACUCAGCCAACAGAAAACCAUGGAGAAGAGAUCUUGUUAUCAUUACUGAAAUUUUGAUUUUAAAUGGAAAGUUUGUUUUCAGCCAAGAAAAAGCUGGUGAGAAAGAAGCAAAUGAACCAAGUAUUUGUUUAUGUACUUCACAUUACAAGGCUGGUUAAAUGAUUUUAUUCAUUAGUAAUUAGUCUAUUCAACAGCACUGUGAAGUAGGUAUUAUUGCUCUCAUUGUUUAUAUUAAUCAGAGUGACACUAGGAAUACUGCUAAUAAUGGUAACUUGCAUUUCUUGGGCAUUUUCCCGGUGCUAGGAUCUGUGAACACCAAGGUAAAUUUCACUCAGAUUUGAUUUUCAAGUACAGAUGAGGAAAUUAAUGCUCAGUAAGUCCAUGUGACUUGCUAUUGUCAGACAGCCUGGGCUUGGCCAUCUGAUUAAAAAAUCAGUGGGCUUUGCAUAAUACUAAGCUGCUAUAGGUCAUGGGGCUCAGAUUGGAGAAGAAAUAUGAAAUAUUUCCAAAUGUGAACCUGAAAGAGCCAGUUCUUCAAAAUGAAUCCCAAGAGCCUAACUGAGCCUAAAUUUAAAAUAGUCAAGCAGUCAUUUGCUAAUUAGAGGUCACACAUAUCUUUUAGUUCCCAGAAAACUCAUUCCUCGGGUUUAAGGUUGGGACCUUCAGAACUCCCAAAUGUCUAAUUUGGGAACUAACCAAUCAGAGCUCACCUGCCUUGGCCAAUCAGGGAUCAACUAUAUCAACCAAUUAGAACUAAGCAAGUUUGAAUGCUUCAUUUGCAUAAAUGAACCUGAUUGGGAACCUGGGUGUGAAUUUUCUCUAUAAAAGCAAAACUCUCCCUUUGUUCUCUGGAUGGCACCUUUCCUUUACAUUGAAGGUUGCAUCUUCCAAGUUUGCAAUCACUUCUCUGGAAUAAAGUCUCUUUCCUCAAAAUUCCUUUUUAGAGAACUUUUGUUCACAUGUGCCCAGGGUAACAAAGCUAGGAAGUGGUAAGCUUGGGAGUUAACCUAGACUGGUUUACUCUCAUAUUGCUUAUGUGGUCAGAUUCACCAAAUUGGAUUUUGUUUCUUCAGAUUUUUCUUUUGCUUUUACCAAAGUUACACUGCAGUAAAGUAACUGCUUCCCUUUUUCUCAGACUAAACUUUUUACAGCCCCAAUAUUUAUUUAUUGGUGCUUCCAACACACCCUAUUAUAUUCUGCAAAUUUAUAUUCUGCAAAUCACUAUUUGGUGGAUAUUUACAAAUUCUCUACAAAUGGCUUGUAUGUGAAGACCUCAGUCAUGACCUCAGCCUGGUGGGCACCAGUUCCACUUUCUCAGAGCAGUGGAUUUGGGGGCCAGUGUGGCCUCUGUUUGCAUCUGAGGGAGGGUGGCCUCGAGACAGAUACCUGGGGUGAGAGUUACUGCUGUGGUUUCAGUCCAUUUCUUGGAAGAUGUCCUGGCUUCUCCAACUGGUGGACUCCUUGUCCUUCCCUAACAACGUGUCUCUAAUGUUUGUGUGACUCUGGGUCAUAGUUCCUUCUGUUUCAUGUACCAUGAAUGCUGUUUCUUGACUCUUUGCAUGUAAAAACUCACUCAAAGCCUAGCUCAAAUGUUACAUUUAUUUUCUGGGUUUUUAUAGUCCUUUGACUAACUCUUCACCUUUCUUCAUGUGGGCACAGUUUUUCUGAAGUAUACAGUUAGUUGAGGAGUGUUUGUCAGUCUCUCAACUUCAAAUCUCUGCUACUAGCUAUGCAAUACUGAGAAGGCCACUUAAUCCUUCCAUGCCUAUGUUUCUGUGUUGAUAAUUUUGGAGAUGAUAUUUACUUCAUGGCUAAGAAUGUUAUGCAGCAAUGUUGGUUGUGAAAGUGCUUGGCAGAUUAGAAGGUGUGGUAUUCACUGCUGGGUGGCUGAUCCAACCUUUAUUCCCAAUUCUUUCCUCCCUGGCUUCCUUUUACUCUAUAGGCUAGAAAUGCUAAAUGCUCACUCUCCAGCUUCCCUUGCAGCUAAGGCUGGCUAUGGAACCUAGGAAGAACCAAAGGAGCACACACGGAGGUCCUCUGGGAGGCUCUGCACAGUGCUUGAAGUGAAAGCAGUUAUAUGAUAGCAAUGCAACAAGUUAACACAAAAACAAUGAUCUCUAGCCUUUUUGUCAUGUGAUAUAACUAAUGUCUUUAAGCCACUAUUAUUUGUGUAUUCCAUUACUUGUGGUUAAAAAGCAUUCCUGAUAGUGUAGAUUCCCAAUAAGUGUUUACUGAAUAUGAAUCUGUAUUGCAUUGUGAGUCUUGGGGGCAAAAUUCAAUAAAAU